UCGGGUUGUAAAGCACUUUUGUCCGGAAAGAAAACCUCUUCGCUAAUAUCGAGGGGGGAUGACGGUACCGGAAGAAUAAGCACCGGCUAACUACGUGCCAGCAGCGCGGUAAUCGUAGGGUGCGAGCGUUAAUCGGAAUUACUGGGCGUAAAGCGUGCGCAGGCGGUGAUGUAAGACCGAUGUGAAAUCCCCGGGCUUAACCUGGGAACUGCAUUGGUGACUGCAUCGCUGGAGUAUGGCAGAGGGGGGUAGAAUUCCACGUGUAGCAGUGAAAUGCGUAGAGAUGUGGAGGAAUACCGAUGGCGAAGGCAGCCCCCUGGGCCAAUACUGACGCUCAUGCACGAAAGCGUGGGGAGCAAACAGGAUUAGAUACCCUGGUAGUCCACGCCCUAAACGAUGUCAACUGGUUGUCGGGUCUUCAUUGACUUGGUAACGUAGCUAACGCGUGAAGUUGACCGCCUGGGGAGUACGGUCGCAAGAUUAAAACUCAAAGGAAUUGACGGGGACCCGCACAAGCGGUGGAUGAUGUGGAUUAAUUCGAUGCAACGCGAAAAACCUUACCUACCCUUGACAUGUAUGGAACCCUGCCG
rnacentral:rRNA from 1 species